GGCCACCAUGUCCCAGGUUUGGGCCCAUUAUGUCUUGAGCUUUAGGGCCCCCACAUCCCAGGUUUAAGGGCCACCAUGUCCUGAAUUUCAGAGCCCCCAUGUCCCAACCAUAGGGCCACCACGUCCCAGGUUUUAGGCCAUUAUGUCCCGAGCUUUAGGGCCCCCAUGUCCCAACCUUAGGGCCCCCACAUCCCAGGUUUAAGGGCCACCAUGUCCUGAAUUUCAGGACCACCACGUCCCAGGUUUUAGGGCCACCAUGUCCUGAAUUUCAGAGCCCCCACGUCCCAACCUUAGGGCCCCCACAUCCCAGGUUUCAGGGCCACCAUGUCCUGAAUUUCAG
rnacentral:lncRNA from 1 species